AUUGAACGCUGGCGGCAUGCCUUACACAUGCAAGUCGAACGGUAGAGGGGGCAACCCCUUGAGAGUGGCGAACGGGUGAGUAAAGCAUCGGAACGUGCCCAGGAGUGGGGGAUAGCUCGGCGAAAGCCGGAUUAAUACCGCAUGUGACCUGAGGGUGAAAGCGGGGGACCGCAAGGCCUCGCGCUCGUGGAGCGGCCGAGGUCGGAGUAGGUAGUUGGUGGGGUAAAGGCCUACCAAGCCGACGAGCUGUAGCUGGUCUGAGAGGACGACCAGCCACACUGGGACUGAGACACGGCCCAGACUCCUACGGGAGGCAGCAGUGGGGAAUUUUGGACAAUGGGCGCAAGCCUGAUCCAGCCAUGCCGCGUGCGGGAAGAAGGCCUUCAGGUUGUAAACCGCUUUUGUCAGGGAAGAAAUCUGCCGGGUUAAUACCCUGGUGGGAUGACGGUACCUGGAGAAUAAGCACCGGCUAACUACGUGCCAGCAGCCGCCGUAA
rnacentral:rRNA from 1 species